rnacentral:rRNA from 1 species
UACGGAGGGUGCAAGCGUUAAUCGGAAUUACUGGGCGUAAAGCGUGCGUAGGCGGUUCGUUAAGUCUGUUGUGAAAGCCCCGGGCUCAACCUGGGAAUGGCAAUGGAUACUGGCGAGCUAGAGUGUGUCAGAGGAUGGUGGAAUUCCCGGUGUAGCGGUGAAAUGCGUAGAGAUCGGGAGGAACAUCAGUGGCGAAGGCGGCCAUCUGGGACAACACUGACGCUGGAGGCACGGAAAGCGUGGGGAGCAAACAGG